UGGGUGUGUAAGGCCAUCUUUCUUAUCCAAAUAAAUAAAUUACACCUUUAUCCAUUUUCAUUUUAAAAAAAUCACUUUCCUAAAAAAAAAAAGAAAAAGUCAGUACUUUUUUCACCUAUUUGUUCCAAAAAAAUAAAAUAAAAUUUAAGACUAUCUUGCUCUCAACAAAAGAAAACAAUUUUUAGGCCUUUCGCAUUCUUAAAAAGGAAAUUUGUUUUGCAGGACAAAAAAAUUCUUAUUUGGUUUCAAAAACAAAAAAUAAAAAUAAAAAUAGAAAAUCACUUUUUCCUCAAAGUUUGCUUUUUAAAUCCAUUUCAUUUUUCCAAAAAAAAGUAAAAAAUAAAAAAAGAAGAAGAAAGGAAUCUUCACUUAAAAAAAAUCGCUUUUAAGGCAUCUUCUUCUUUAAAUUUUUUUCUUUUUUUCUUUUCUCGUAAUUUAGCAUUUGUCACUUCUCUCUUUGUUCACUAAAAAGAAAAAAAAGGCGUAAAAAGAAGGAAAACAAUAUUGUCAAAGGGUCACCUACACCGGCUGCCUAACUGUGCGUUGAUCGAGUCACCCUCGACUUGGGGCAUCCUCAACUAGGCGCGGAUUAUGCUUUGUUGCCACUCUCUUGACCACAUACUUCCAUAGGGGUUGCUUACCCCCGCACCUUAACUGUGCUCUCGGCCAAUCAAGCUCUGAUUCAAAGCGCGCUUCACUCGGCACGAUUUGUGCCAAGUACUUAGAUUUUUUUCACUGUGUGUUUUCUUCUUUUCACUUGCGUGCUUUAUUACAUAGUACUGCAUACAACAGACCAGGGAAGCCUGGGAAACUAUCAAAUAUUUUCGAAAACCCCCAAAAUUUGGCAUUAACGUCAUGAGGGGAAUCUAGCCUUGAGAGCCGAGGCAGUGGGAAUUCGCGUAACAGUAACUGUGCUCACCCCUCUAUAAUCCUUAGCCUCAUAGCAACUCCACACAUAGUAAGACCUGGCUGAUUUCUUUAACACGUCGUUAAGACCUACAUGGGGACCCACACAGCCUAGCCGUAUUUAUGUAGUUAGAACCACUCAAACCUAACCUACUCCUAGUUUAGGGCAAAGUUUUCGAGUACUUUGUUUUCUUAUUAUAGCUGACAAAUCUUAGCUCUCAAUCAAGAUGGAUUUCUGACAGUCUGAGUCCAGGCUCAUACUCAGCCUAGCCCAGGUCCGAACCAGGUUCAUAACCAGGUCCGAACCUAGGCUCCCUCUUUGUACGAGCGAAAGCUCACACCAAAUCUCACAUAAAUCUUAGUCCCGGUCCACAUCCAGACGGAAUUUGAAACUUGCUGGGUCCGAGUCCAGGCUUGCAUCCAACCCAGCCCAGGUUCGAACCGGGUUCACAACAGUUCAAACCUAGGCUCCCUCUUGGUGCGAGUCAAGGCUCAUACCAAAUCUCAUCUAAAUCUCAAUUCGGGUCCACACCUAGUCUAAAUUCAAAACCCUCUAGGUCCAAGUCUAGGCUUGGACCCAGCUUAGUCCAGCUCCAAACCAGGUUCACAUCCAGGUUCGAACCUAGACCAUCUCUUAGUCUGAGUCAAGACUAGUGCCCAUCCAGUCUAGAUUUUAGUCUACGUCCUAACUUAGUUCUAGAUAUUGAAUUGCCUCUAGGACUAGACUAGAUCCAUUUUAGUUUAGGGUCGAACCUAAAU
rnacentral:lncRNA from 1 species